rnacentral:rRNA from 1 species
GACGUGACUUCAGAGUUUGAUCCUGGCUCAGGACGAACGCUGGCGGCGUGCUUAACACAUGCAAGUCGAACGAUGAAGCCCUGCUUGCAGGGUGGAUUAGUGGCGAACGGGUGAGUAACACGUGGGUGAUCUGCCCCGCACUUCGGGAUAAGCCUGGGAAACUGGGUCUAAUACCGGAUACGACCCCCUGGUAGGUCAGGGGGUGGAAAGAUUUAUCGGUGUGGGAUGAGCCUGCGGCCUAUCAGCUUGUUGGUGGGGUAAUGGCCUACCAAGGCGUCGACGGGCAGCCGGCCUGAGAGGGUGAUCGGCCACAUUGGGACUGAGACACGGCCCAG